GUUGGGAACAGAGGUGCAUUCCUGUAAUUCCAGCUACUUGGGAGGCUGAGGCAGGAGGAUUGCAACUUUGAGGCCAGCCUAGGCAACUUCUCAAGACCCUGUUUCAA
rnacentral:sRNA from 1 species